rnacentral:rRNA from 1 species
GGAAUAUUGGACAAUGGGGGCAACCCUGAUCCAGCCAUGCCGCGUGUGUGAAGAAGGCCUUCGGGUUGUAAAGCACUUUUGUCCGGAAAGAAAUCGUUUCGGUUAAUACCCGGAGCGGAUGACGGUACCGGAAGAAUAAGCACCGGCUAACUUCGUGCCAGCAGCCGCGGUAAUACGAAGGGUGCAAGCGUUACUCGGAAUUACUGGGCGUAAAGCGUGCGCAGGCGGUUUGUUAAGUCUGAUGUGAAAGCCCCGGGCUCAACCUGGGAAUGGCAUUGGAAACUGGCAGGCUAGAGUGCGGUAGAGGAAGGUGGAAUUCCCGGUGUAGCGGUGAAAUGCGUAGAGAUCGGGAGGAACAUCUGUGGCGAAGGCGGCCAUCUGGACCAGCACUGACGCUCAUGCACGAAAGCGUGGGGAGCA